rnacentral:lncRNA from 1 species
GAGGGGGUAAGGGUUGACAGUUUGUGUUCAAUCCAUGAGGUUCCAUAUUGGUUGCUGUGCAGUGGUAGAAAAAAACGGUGCCUCUGGUUUACUGAUUUGUGAGUUACCUUUUGUUUAUUUGUUCGUUUUGCUUCCUGUUCAACGCAUUGACAAUUGGUUCACUGGUGAGGAGGUACAUACAUGUUUUAAUUGUAUGUAUAUGUCAUUAUUAUUAUUAUUAUUUUGAAUGUUGAAUAACUUGGUUUCAAGUAUUAAUGAAAUAAUAAGUAUAUGAUGCAAAUUUUGCCUUGUGAUCACAUUGAAAAAUAACAUGUGUUAUCAAUGAAGUUUUUGGAAAU